AUUCUGCCCAUGCGGGGAAGGAUGAGAAGCUUCGACCAAGGUUCGACUCGAGCGCCAGCGAGAGAGCGUUGCCGCAGGCAACGACCCGAAGGGCGAAGCGCGCAGCGCUGAGUAAUCCUUCCCCACCACCA
rnacentral:sRNA from 3 species